AUGCAAUUUUCCCAGGGUUUUCCAGGGCUGACUACAGAGGAAGGUCCUAACUCUGUGUAUCCUCCCCACCUCUGUCUCACUUUGACUUCCAGAAUGGCCUGAGUCAUCUCCUUCUAAUAGGGCUCUUGUCUCCCUGGGACCACUGAGAAUGAGAGACAUCUUAGCCUCUUAGCCCUGCUGAGGAUCCACCAGGGCUUAUAGUAGGGGAUGUACUCUUCCGGCCCCUUUUGUCCUGAGGACGAAUUCCGCUCAGUCCUUGUUUAAUAAGGUUCUGAAUUUCACUCGAAGCGACCCCUAGGGCAGCCUCUGCUAACCUGAAUCAUACAGCCUUAGACCAAGGCUCUUAUGCACCCCUCCUCCUCCAACUAACCAAAAGGUGAAGCGAGGAGGCACCUGAGCCUUACGGCCAUACCAGGGGCUUCCAAGGGCUAACAGCAGGAGUGGGGCUCUUUACGGCCUCCACUGUUCUAGGGAGGCGGCUUCUCCUAAAAGAUAAAUUGGGGUGUUUGUUGGCUCCUGACAGAGCCUAGGACUCCUUCCUCUGCUGGCCGGAGGCAGACGCCCUAGUCAGACAUCCUCACCCUUCGGGGUUUCCCAUGGCUGGCAGCAGGGGCCCGGCUCCACACGGACGCCUCUGUCAUGGGAGACGAGAAGUUCUACUGAAUACACACGAGGGCCCUCAUCGACUCGUCCGAUACCCCCUCCCGGGGUCCAAAGCUAUUAUUUCUCCGAGUUCUCUGAAGGAGAAGUUGGAUGGCGGCAGGGGCCCGGCUCCACACGGACGCCUCUGUCAUGGGAGACGAGAAGUUCUACUGAAUACACACGAGGGCCCUCACCGACUCCUCCGAUACCCCCAUCCUGGGUCCAAAGCUAUUUCUUUGAGUUCUUCGAAGAAUUCGGAGAGUACUACAUUGGGUCAUCCCUGCCUGGAACCACCUAGGGAGGGAUUCCCUCGAACUUUACUCGAUAUUCGUAUUUUACCUGGGCAGCGCUUGGAUCCCUCCCUCAGCUGCUCCACCGGCUCACCUCCCACAGACCCCAGAAACGGAAGUCACUGUUACGCACAUCCGGCCACUCAUGGGGGGCCGGCUGGGGUCCCAGGAGUAUGACUCUUGUGGUUCCCCCUCUGUUAUAAUGUGAGUAGUAGCCAAAGUCCUCUCGGGAAGUAGGUUCUUAUUUUGGCUCCUGGUUCUUUGAUUAAAAGCUCCUUGGGAAAUAUCACCUCCUCUCCCAAGCUCUGGACAGUUUCUCAGCUUAAACCCUUGCAGACGGUGGCUCCACAUCCCAGCCGUGGGGUGAGAUCCAGAAGCCGCACAGGGAGGAAAAAAUGGAGAUACGUAGCAGCUGUCAUGAACUGUGAAGAGGCUAAGAUUUUUAUCCUUCUUGCAAGCUAACAAGUUAGCCUGUCACUUCUUGGAUGCUGGCAAAAAGCAUGAGGCUCUUGGUUGUUUACUUAUUGGGAACUAGAGUCAACUGAAAGACAAAACUGAAUGGCCUAGCUUUCAUCCAGCGAAUUAGAGGACUUAAUCUCAGAUCCUGGAAAAGAAGGUAGAAUGAACUACAGAAGAAAAAGCCAGAGAGAGACAGAGACACAGGCAGAGGGAGAAGCAGGCUCCCUGCAGGGAGCCCGACGUGGGACUCGAUCCCGGAUCUCCAGGAUCACACCCCAGGCUGCAGGUGCUAAACCGCUGCGCCACCGGGGCUGCCCUAUAAAUUAUCAUUAAGUUAUAAAUUUAUCAAUGGUUAAGUA